AACGCUGGCGGCGCGCUUAACACAUGCAAGUCGAGCGAGAACCAGUCCUUCGGGACUGGGGAAAGCGGCGAACGGGUGAGUAACACGUGGGUAAUCUGCCCUCGGCACUGGGAUAGCCCGGGGAAACCCGGAUUAAUACCGGAUAGCCUUUCGAGCCUUCGGGCUCGUCAGAAAAGGUGGCUUCGGCUUCCGGCUGAGGAUGAGCCCGCGGCGGAUUAGCUUGUUGGUGGGGUAAUGGCCUACCAAGGCGACGAUCCGUAGCUGGUCUGAGAGGACGAUCAGCCACACUGGGACUGAGACACGGCCCAGACUCCUACGGGAGGCAGCAGUGGGGAAUUUUGGACAAUGGGGGCAACCCUGAUCCAGCCAUUCCGCGUGAGUGAAGAAGGCCUUCGGGUUGUAAAGCUCUUUUGUCCGGAACGAAACGGUGCUCGUGAAUAUCGAGCGCUACUGACGGUACCGGAAGAAUAAGCACCGGCUAACUACGUGCCAGCAGCCGCAGUAAGAC
rnacentral:rRNA from 1 species